CACACCGCCCGUCACACCAUGAAAAUCGCUCAUACCAGAAAUUAUCUUAGCUAACCUUGAAAGAGGGGGCGGAUGCUGAAGGUAUGGGGGUAAUUGGGGUG
rnacentral:rRNA from 1 species